AGGAUUCCCCUAGUAACUGCGAGUGAAGCGGGAAAAGCUCAAAUUUAAAAUCUGGUAGUCUUUGGCUGCCCGAGUUGUAAUCUAGAGAAGCAUUAUCCGCGCUGGACCGUGUACAAGUGUCCUGGAAUGGACUAUCAUAGAGGGUGAGAAUCCCGUCUUUGACACGGACUCCCAGGGCUUUGUGAUGUGCUCUCAAAGAGUCGAGUUGUUUGGGAAUGCAGCUCUAAAUGGGUGGUAAAUUCCAUCUAAAGCUAAAUAUUGGCGAGAGACCGAUAGCGAACAAGUACCGUGAGGGAAAGAUGAAAAGAACUUUGGAAAGAGAGUUAAACAGUACGUGAAAUUGCUGAAAGGGAAACGCUUGAAGUCAGUCGCGUUGGCUGGGGAUCAACCUUGCUUCUUGCUUGGCUUACUUCCCAGUUGACGGGUCAGCAUCAGUUUUGACCAGUGGAUAAAGGUUAAGGGAAUGUGGCACCUCCGGGUGUGUUAUAGCCCUUGGUCAUAUACAUUGGUUGG
rnacentral:rRNA from 1 species